AUCCUAUGUACCGAUAUGAUGAUGUUUUUUUUUUCUGCUCAGGACGACGCUGGCGGCGUGCCUAAUACAUGCAAGUCGAGCGGACAGAUGGGAGCUUGCUCCUGAUGUUAGCGGCGGACGGGUGAGUAACACGUGGGUAACCUGCCUGUAAGACUGGGAUAACUCCGGGAAACCGGGGCUAAUACCGGAUGGUUGUUUGAACCGCAUGGUUCAAACAUAAAAGGUGGCUUCGGCUACCACUUACAGAUGGACCCGCGGCGCAUUAGCUAGUUGGUGAGGUAACGGCUCACCAAGGCAACGAUGCGUAGCCGACCUGAGAGGGUGAUCGGCCACACUGGGACUGAGACACGGCCCAGACUCCUACGGGAGGCAGCAGUAGGGAAUCUUCCGCAAUGGACGAAAGUCUGACGGAGCAACGCCGCGUGAGUGAUGAAGGUUUUCGGAUCGUAAAGCUCUGUUGUUAGGGAAGAACAAGUACCGUUCGAAUAGGGCGGUACCUUGACGGUACCUAACCAGAAAGCCACGGCUAACUACGUGCCAGCAGCCGCGGUAAUACGUAGGUGGCAAGCGUUGUCCGGAAUUAUUGGGCGUAAAGGGCUCGCAGGCGGUUUCUUAAGUCUGAUGUGAAAGCCCCCGGCUCAACCGGGGAGGGUCAUUGGAAACUGGGGAACUUGAGUGCAGAAGAGGAGAGUGGAAUUCCACGUGUAGCGGUGAAAUGCGUAGAGAUGUGGAGGAACACCAGUGGCGAAGGCGACUCUCUGGUCUGUAACUGACGCUGAGGAGCGAAAGCGUGGGGAGCGAACAGGAUUAGAUACCCUGGUAGUCCACGCCGUAAACGAUGAGUGCUAAGUGUUAGGGGGUUUCCGCCCCUUAGUGCUGCAGCUAACGCAUUAAGCACUCCGCCUGGGU
rnacentral:rRNA from 1 species